UUUUUUUCUUCUUUGAGGUGUGUCCUUGUGGGUGCUCCACCUUAGGUAAUUAUGGAGCAGUACCCAUGAUAAGAGGUGGGUGCUUCAGCUAAUUAGUAUCAUCGCACAGCAGCUAGAACAGUAUGUGCAAACUGAGUACCAUGGGACAGGUAAGUAUCAAGAGCAUAGUGUCUAGAAAACAUGAACAGAAGACCACAUUGCUGAUGUACAAAUGUCCAUGAGAGGUAUGUUAUGCAGGUAAACUGCAGAAGCCACCAUGGUCUUUGUAGAGUGUAUAUGUUGUUGUAAUGGAGGCUCUCGGCCAAAGAUGGAGCAGGCCAGUCUGAUGCAGUUCACUAUCCACAUGGAUAGUCUCUGAGUAGAAAUUGGUGUGCCCAAGGAUCUUUUUGUGAUAGAGACAAACAGUCUAGUUGACUUAAGGAUUUGCUUGGUCUGGUCCAAAUAAAAGGCAAUUGCCUUGAAGACAUCGAGUAUGUGCCAUGCAGCCUCCUUAUUAUCAGUGUUAAGCUUCGGAAAGAAGACAGGUAAGAUUAUGGGUUCAUUACAAUGAAAUCAGUGGAGACCUUGGGAGAAACUUUGGUGAAGACAGAGAAUGACUUAGUCUUUAUGGAAAACCAUGAAGGGAGGAUCCAUCAUCAGUAUGCCGGUCUCCUGACCAAUGUGAUGACUGCUAAUAAGACUAUCUUCAUAGAAAGGUGGAACAUGUUACCAUGGGUUCAAAUGGUUUACGGGUGGGAGCCUAAAGCACUAAAUCAAGGUCCCAAGCUGGAACAGGGGGCCUGAUAGGUGGGUACAUGUUCUGCAUGCCUUCGAGGAAGCUCUUGGUCAUUGGGUAAAUGAAGACAGAUUUGUUGUCAAUGGGCAGAUGAAAGGCUGUUAUAGUUGCAAGGUGAACCUUUAAAGAGCAUUUUUGUUCAGACCAAAGUGAGAAUCUUCUCCACUUGUAAAGGUAAGACAUUCUGGUUGUUAAUUUGCAACUGUUUAAUAAAAUGUGUUUGACUUGAUCAGUGAAUGUUGUUUCUUCUGAGGUGAGCCAUUGAGAAACAUACCUGGAGGUGAAGUAUUUGUAGGCCUGGGUGACAGACUUGGCCUCCCUCUUGUGUCAGGAGAUGGGGAAGCAACAGAAACCACCAUGGCCUUCUCCUGAAGCAGGUUGUACUCCUGUGGAGACCAACAUCUUUGGAUCCUGAGAGAACCUGAGGGUGCUCCCCAGCUCAGAAGAGAGGCAACCAUCAUGAUGUCAUGGACAGGGGUCAUUUGUGAUAAGGACUCUGGAAAUGAGCAUGGUGGGCGGAAAGGUGUAAAGUAGUGGACCUGUCCCAACUGAGAAGAAAGGCGUCUUUCAGAGAAUUUCUGCCAAUCCCAGCUCUGGAACAGUACUGUCAACAUUUUGAGUUUUUCUGGGAAGCAAAGAGAUCUAUUUGUGGAAAACCCCGGAGACAGAAGAUGUGCCAGAGAACGUCUUCCAUUUGUGAUUUGGUGCAAAUUGUCUGCUUAACGUCAUGGUCACCAACCCGUCAAUCGGGAUCGACUGGUUGAUCGGGAGGGCUCAACCAGUCAAUUGCGAGGUGUUUGGGUGCCCCCCAUUUCCUGCCACCCCCAAGAAGCCCCACUAUCUACCUUCAGCGACAAUGGAGGUAGUGCCGGCUUCCUGUGGGGUAGAAGGAAGUCCAGCAGCUGCAUGCCACUUCCAGGGUUUCAGGAAGUGCGCUGGUUGCUCUCCCUCCCCUAAACAGCAGGCACAGUACCACAACCCAGAUCUGAGACAUGCUGGGGACUUGCUGCGGGGUGAGGGUUAGGAGUCCCCAGAGGAAGCCCAUGAUGGGGCUUCCUUCCUCAGAGGGGGAGGGGGAGGAGUCCCGUGAGGAGUCACAUGCAGGGGCUUCCCUCCUCUGCGGGGGGGGAGAGGGUUUAGGAGCCCCCAGAGGAGGCGUACACCGGGGCUUCCCUCCUUUGUGGAGGGUGGUAGUGGAGAGGGGAGGAAUCCCCAGAGGAAGUGCACUCCAGAGCUUCCCUCCUCUGCGGGGGGGCGGAGGCAGGAGGAGUCCUGGGAGGAGGUGCAUGCCGGGGCUUUCCUCCUCUGUGGGGAGGACAGGGUGGCGGGCAGGAAGGAGUCCUGGGAGGAGGUGUGUGCUGGGGCUUCCCUUCUCUGCAGGCGGUGGAGGUUAGGAGUCCCCAGAGGAGACACGUAUUGGAGACUCCCUGUCCCCAGCCCCCACUGGCACCCU